GACGAACGCUGGUCUUCUCCACACAGGUUGGUGGAAGUGUGCCUUGAGAUUUCUGCGGAGCUCAGACGAAGGAAAAACACUGAAAAAAGCGCUCUGGGGCCUCAUUUAUAAAACCUGUUAUUUGUUAAACCUUUGUCUGGGGUGGCUUUCUAACAAUAAUUUACAACAAAGUUGUCAUGCAGGAGAUAGUGGGUAUCUGCUAAGGAACUGGCUGCUCACUCCCUUCCACAACCCACAAACCGCGGCCCAAAACCGCUUCAACGUUUGGUGGUGGAGCGCGCCAUCGGGCAUUUAAAAUCAUGCUGGAGGUGCCUGGAUAUGUCUGGAGGAGUCCUAUUAUAUGCGCCUGAAAAGGUGUGUCUGAUGAUUAGGGCCUGUGCUGUAUUGUACAACAUGGCACAACGUAAUGGAGUCCCUCCACCUGCGUUAAUGCCAAUUGAAGAAGGCCCUGAAGCGCAAGGCAUGAACAACGAAGGCCAUACAGCAGUUAUAUUGCGCAAACAAGUGAUGCAACGUUUAUGAAAUCACGGCAUCAGUGAGAACGCCGCCACGGGCCUCACUUGGGCCGCGACGAGUUUGGCGGUGUAGAGCGAUCGGCACUGAUGUGUAUGACGAGGUCGUCGCUGGCGGGACCUGGAGCUUGACACAGCAGGUGCUGGAAGGUCGCUGCUUGCAGGCUGCCUGCGUGUGAGGCACAAUCUCCGUAGUUCAUCCUCUUCACAAAUUUGUAUCACAAAUAAAAGAAAAUGAUUAAGAGACUGUUGUGA